rnacentral:misc_RNA from 1 species
GAUGAAGAACGCAGCGAAAUGCGAUACUUGGUGUGAAUUGCAGAAUCCCGUUAACCAUCGAGUCUUUGAACGCAAGUUGCGCCCGAAGCCUCGGCUAAGGGCACGUCUGCCUGGGCGUCACGCAUCGCGUCUCCCCCAAACCGCCAAGGCGGAGGGGAAGGAAGAUGGCUUCCCGUGCCUCACCCGGGCGCGGUUGGCCUAAAUUUGGAGCCCGCGGCACUUAGCUCUCGCGGCGAUAGGUGGUGAACAAGGCCUUGGCCGUGCAAACAACCCGCUGCGAAGCUCUAUGUCACGUGCGCUCGUCGGACCCUUUGAAGUUGCCUUUGGUGACUUAAAACCUUUGCGACCCCAGGUCAGGCGGGGCUACCCGCUGAAUUUAAGCAUAUCAAUAAGCGGAGGA